CCAAAUUUUUCUAUCCUUGCAGGACCAAGUAGAAGAUAUUAAGGGACGGUCAGAAAAAGACGAACACUUAAAAGCCCUCCUUCAGCAAGCCCUCGAGGAGCAGUUAGUAAAUGAGAGAGAGAGAUUAAUGCUAGUUUUCCAGGUAAAGACUUUCCUCCAGGAGAAAAUUUGGAGGCGGCGAGAGCCUAGAAAGGCAAAUUGGAAAACCUGGUGACCCUUCUCUGCCCUCCGAUAGAAACUGGGCGUGCGUAUGAAGAGAGUGAAGGUGGGUGCUCUGAUGUUAGUAUCGAGGAGGUCCCCUAUUAUGGAAGGAUUUUGGUCACAUCCCUAGGAAAUCGGAGACGGAGUACGUGUGUAAAGCCCCACUAAAGGGGGGGGAACAGAUCCUGUUCAUCGAAAGGGAAUCGGAAGGUUACUGGGGAUCCGGAAUACUUCUUAUCAGUGGCAACUGCUGUGCCCUGUGGUCACUUACUUGAAGAGCUGCUUAUUGGGAUGAUUACUUCCCAGGACAGCUGAUAUUGAUCAACUUGGUGCCAGUUGGCCCUGUCCAUUUAGCACUCAGUGAGCCUGUUAAGUGCAUAUGAAAGGCUCAAGUUGAUCAGGGGAAAAUGUAUGAGAUUAACCAUCUGGAUUUCACCCACUUCCAACUUUUUGGUUCAUUGGGGACUGGGAAAGUGGGGUUUCUUUGUUUUCUCCAAUUAUGCUUUCUCUACCCUUGGUUCCUCUGGAACCGGGAAGUGUUCUCUCUUCUGUUUUGCAGGUGCUAACAAAUGCCGAUCCUGCUGCUGUGCCCUAUGUGUUACCUUCAUCAUUCUUCAUCAUCCUUUCUCCGGGAUCCCUGUAGUAUCAUUAUUGUUGCUGUUUCAGACAGUUAAGCCCAGUAUUGAAAUAUGGAGGAAACGAAUGGGGCCAGGAUAGUGCUGGCUGACUCGUGCCACUCUGAGGAGAUGCGGGACAAAGACUGACAAUGGGGUGUCAGAUGCAACAACUGUUGUAUGCUCCAAUUAUACGGUAAUCCAAGACUUGCUGCCUACCCCAGUUGGAAUGAAUCUUGCAUUGGUAAAGAAAUUAUCUGCAUUGUGGCAAUCUGCAUCAACUGCUAGAAUGCAUCCAAGAGAUGUUUGCUUGUAAUCAUAUAAUAUGUGAAAGUUGGCAUGUGAUGAGGUGACUGGCCCAGCUUAAACUACCCAUGGAUUUUGACAGUUGGCCUCGAUAUUAGAUUACUUUUUGUAGUCUCUUGGUGACCUAUAGCCAUUGUGGGACAGUGACAAGCUUAGCACUGCCAGGUGUUGUGAGAAGGAGGAAUGGUGCCUGGCUCAAAGCCUUGUCAGUGGCGUGCAUCUGGGGUGUGACUACAGAUUAUGGAAGAGUUUUGAGGAAGAAUGGAUACCCCAUCUGCUGAAAAGUGACUAAGUGAAGGUGAUGUUGCUGACCAACCUGCUGCCACCCUGUGGACCAAGGAGACAUCACUGGAUUCCCUGGUGGUUGUCUCUGGCAAUAAUGAAUGAACUGUUCUUUGUGGAUGUUUGCCUGACUGGAGUUUUCAGUCUUGUUUGUCAUGCAGUGAGGAUCUGCCUGAGUGUCCUCUUGGAGCUCUUUCUGGUGAGCAAGAAGAUAGGAGAUCACUAAUUCUACUCUUCUCACUUCAGCAUAUGCCCCCAAGCAGGUGCAAAUGCUCUGCAGUGCGCAGGAACUGGGAUGACUAUGAUAUCUGGGCUACAACGGUUAGGCUUAGCUCGCUCAAGGUUUUUGAGGUGAAGCGGGUACCUGUCUGUCUCUGACUUAAAACAACAAUAAAUCCUUGCUUACCGCCAAAAAAAAAGAUGUGCUGUCUUUCUGUGCUCGGGCCUGGGUCUCUUGAUGCUCAUGUUAUUAAUCUUGGAACAUGAAAAGGGAGAGCAAUGAUUGCUUCAGCUACUGGCUAUCUG